CUUUUAAUAUUCUCCUUACCUGACUAACUAAUACAACCCACACACCCCGGUUUAGAUAAUACACGCUUAAUUAUACGGCUAAGCACGCGUUCUACGAAAAAAAAUCAAACACUCUUUUCAUCUUCUUCUCCCUAGGGUUCUUCUCCGCUAUCUUCUCCAAAGGUUAUUUUCUUCACUCUUCUCCAGGUAUCCAUCUCUCUCUCUCUCUCUCUCUCUCUCUCUCUCUCUCUCUCUCUCUCUCUCUCUCUCUCCAAUAUGCUUCUUCUUGCUUCUUCUCUAUUCUUUAUAUAUUUCAAUUUUUUUAUUAAAUUUUUGUGGAAUUAGGUUAUGUAUUUUUCGUUUUUGAAAUUAGGUUAUGCUUACUUCCAUGAAUGAAAGCUAAAUCGUAAAAGGACCUAUUUUACAAAUGAGAAACAUUGGACAUGGGCUUAAUGAAUGAAUUGCACAAUCCUAUUACAGAAGCAAAUUAAACCAUUUAAAUGAAUACACAAACUUCACAACAGUAGCGGCAACAACAAUUGAGUCAUCACCAUUUUCCUUUGGUACCUUUGGUUACGAUUUCUUCUAUAGUGGGUUUGGUCUUGCAUUUGGGACAUUGCUGAUUGGUUAUGGGUGGUGCUGUUCGAAUUCCUUGUUUUAUGUUAUCUUAUGUAUUUUGGUUUUGUUUAGUUUUGAAUUGGUCUGGGUGAAAGCUUGGUUCUAGC
rnacentral:lncRNA from 1 species